AUUGAACGCUGGCGGCAGGCCUAACACAUGCAAGUCGAGCGAGCGGCGGACGGGUGAGUAAUGCCUGGGAAUUGCCCAGUCGAGGGGGAUAACAGUUGGAAACGACUGCUAAUACCGCAUACGAUUGGAUUGCCCCGGGGGGAUUAGCUAGUUGGUGAGGUCAUGGCUCACCAAGGCGACGAUCGCUAGCUGGUCUGCGAGGAUGAGCAGCCAAACUGUAACUGAGGCAAGGUCCAGACUCCUACGGGCGGCAGCAGUGGGGAAUAUUGCAAAAUGGGGGAAUCCCUGAUGUAGCCAUGCCGCGUUUGUGAAGAAGGCCUUCGGGUUGUAAAGCACUUUCAGCGAGGAGGCGUUACUCGCAGAAGAAGCACCGGCUAACUCCGUGCCAGCAGCCGCGGUAAUUC
rnacentral:rRNA from 1 species